rnacentral:rRNA from 1 species
CAGUAGCCGCGGUAACACGUAGGGUGCAAGCGUUAAUCGGAAUUACUGGGCGUAAAGCGUGCGCAGGCGGUUAUAUAAGACAGAUGUGAAAUCCCCGGGCUCAACCUGGGAACUGCAUUUGUGACUGUAUAGCUAGAGUACGGCAGAGGGGGAUGGAAUUCCGCGUGUAGCAGUGAAAUGCGUAGAUAUGCGGAGGAACACCGAUGGCGAAGGCAAUCCCCUGGGCCUGUACUGACGCUCAUGCACGAAAGCGUGGGGAGCAAACAGGAUUAGAUACCCCAGUAGUCCCUGUCUCUUAUAC